rnacentral:SRP_RNA from 1 species
GCCAGGCGUGGUGGUGGGUGCCUGUAAUCCCAGCUACUCAGGAGGCUGAGGCAGGAGAAUUGCUUGAACCCAGGAGGUGGAGGUUGCAGUGAGCCAAGAUCUCGCCACUGCACUCCAGCCUGGGUGACAGAGCGAGACUCUGUCUCGG